rnacentral:rRNA from 1 species
GACGUAGGGCGCGAGCGUUGUCCGGGUUUAUUGGGCGUAAAGAGCUCGUAGGCGGCUUGUUACGUCGACUGUGAAAUCCCGCGGCUCAACUGCGGGCUUGCAGUCGAUACGGGCAGGCUAGAGUUCGGUAGGGGAGACUGGAAUUCCUGGUGUAGCGGUGAAAUGCGCAGAUAUCAGGAGGAACACCGAUGGCGAAGGCAGGUCUCUGGGCAUUAACUGACGCUGAGGAGCGAAAGCAUGGGGAGCGAACAGG